rnacentral:scRNA from 1 species
GCCGUCCGUGGCUGCACGAAUUCGAGACAUUC